UUUCUUGUGGCCCAAUGGCAAGGCGUCCGCCCGCCUACGAUGGAAUAUAAAACCGAGUUAGCGGGAGAUUCCAGGUUCGUCCCCUGGCGUGGAAG